AGAAAAAACAAUAAUAUUAAAAUUUAAAUUUUAUGUAAAGAGAAGCAACAUAUUUUUGUUAAAAAAGAAAAUUAUUAUAAACAAUGAAUUGAAGGGUCGUGCCUUGGGGUUAAGGAUUUUUUUAUUUGAUUGGGUUUAUUGUUUCUCGAUUAUUGAAGUUUUUUUAAUUAUUAGGAUUCUUACCGUUUCAGAGUGGAAAAUUUGAAUUUAAAAUUAAAAAGUGAUAAAAAGUCUUGAUUCAAUAGGUAUCUAGUUAAUUAGAUUUAAAUUUAUUUUUUUUUCUUUCAGAUGCAAGCUUAAAAGUUUAAAUUUUUAUCUUACUUUUCCCAAUAGCAAAAUUUUUGAUAUUUUAUUAAAAUUAGAAGUGUAAAGUUUUAUAACUUAUUAAUUUACUAAUUAUUUUAUUAUCGUAGUUGAAAUAAAAAUUUAAUUUAAUAGGCGAUAGCUAUAAAACUAUGAGAAAAUUAGUAGAAUUAUUGUUUACUCGGUGUGUAAUAGCAUUUAAAAUAUUUAAAAUUAAUUUGACUGUAUUUUUUCAUCUGUUUUGCAAAAACAUAGUACUGAGAUAUAAUUUAGUAUGAUGUCUGCCCGGUGAGAUAUUAACGGCCGUAGAUUUCUAUGCUAAGGUAGCAUAAUCAUUUGUCUUUUUAUUGGGGACUGGAAUGAAAGGCGUUUUGAAAAAAUUUUUUAUUUUUUUUAUUGAGUUGAAGUUAGAUGUAGAGUGAAAAUACUCUUUAUUAAUAAAAAGACGAAAAGACCCCGUAGAGUUUUAAUAAUUCUUUUGUUUUUCUCAUAUAAACUUAUUUUAACUGGGGCGGUUAAUGAAAUCUCAUUUAUAAAAAAAAUUUUUAUUGGCAAAAAAGAAGAUCCACUUAUGAGUGAUGAAAAAUAAAUUACCUUGGGGUUAACAGCGUUAUUUUUAAGAAGAGUUCAAAUCGUUUUAAAAGUUUACGACCUCGAUGUUGGAUUAAAGUCACUUGAAGGGGCAGAUCUUUUUUAAGUUUGUCUGUUCGACAAAUAAAACUUUUCAUGAUCUGAGUUCAAAUCGGUGUAAGCCAGGUUGGUCUUUAUCUUUUUUGACAAAAUAAAAUAAAAUAGAUAGUACGAAAGGACUCCUAUUUAGUUUAA